AACGCUGGCGGCAGGCUUAAUACAUGCAAGUCGAACGGUAACAUGUCGGAGCAAUCUGAUGAUGACGAGUGGCGCACGGGUCGUAACGCGUAUGCAACCUACCCAUAACCGGAACAUUAACGUUGAGAAAUCGGCGCUAAUAUUCCAUGUGUAUAUUUUGUGGCAUCAUAGAAUAUAUAAAGAUUAAUUGGUUAUGGAUGGGCAUGCGUAUCAUUAGCUAGUUGGUGGGGUAACGGCCUACCAAGGCUGCGAUGAUUAGGGGUUCUGAGAGGAUAACCCCCCACACUGGAACUGAGACACGGUCCAGACUCCUACGGGAGGCAGCAGUAGGGAAUAUUGGGCAAUGGAGGCAACUCUGACCCAGCCAUGCCGCGUGAAGGAAGACGGUCCUAUGGAUUGUAAACUUCUUUUAUCAUAGAGUAACCGCAGGGACGUGUCCCUGCCUGCAAGUAUAUGAUGAAUAAGCAUCGGCUAACUCCGUG
rnacentral:rRNA from 1 species